rnacentral:miRNA from 1 species
UGCUAGAUGAAGUUUGCAACAAA